UCCGAGGGCCGGGGAUAGGUCAGCGUGGGCCGCCUGACCACGCUGGAUGGCGUGAGCCGCUUGGAUGCCCAGAGGUGUAAGGUGAGGAGCUCCUCCGGGCUCUCCCCGGCCACCUUCUCGCUGUGUCCUCGCAGGACUUCUGCAGAGGGAUUUGGAGAGUCCUACAUGGUCCGGCUAGAUCAGACAUCCCUUGCAGGAGGGCUCUAAGCAAGAGAGGCACAGGGAAGAUAGCAGUGAUUUGUCACGGGACUGGAGUUUGGCUGUACUGACCGCCAGGCAUUUUGGGACAAGCUGUAGUAGGGCUUUAAACAGGAAGAGAUCUCCCACCACCAUGUGGAAAGCAGAUGUGUCACGGAGAAGUGGAACCCACUUGUGAGGAGAGACCAUCGUCUGUUGGCCACUUGCCUUUUCCCCAUCCUUUGUGCCAUCCUGUGCUGGUUUCCCUCCUCUCCUGUGCUCCCCCUGUCUGGCAGGGUGCUCAUCCCGGGCACGGCCCCUCGAGGACCCUCCACAUUGACUCCCCUGGCACAGCCAUGAAGCCGCCCAGCCCGGCCCGUGUCUGCCUCUCUGCUCUGCUCACCUGGAGGAAAGCACAGCCGUCCAUCCACAAGCCACGCCACUGUAAGUCCAGGUCAAAACUUAAAUCAUUGUGGAUCUUUCCUUUCCCCCUAACACCUGUGUGUUUGAUUUGUGUUCCUCCAAAUAUACCCAUUCUAUUCAUCACACCCUCAUUCAAGGUGUCCAUGGAACACUGUCACAGCUGCUGUCUGCACCUUCCGCUAAACAGCCAUAGUCUAAAGAUACCUAGGUAUCUGUUCACUUUCCAUCCUCAUGGAAAGUUCUUCCAACAUCCCACAGGCUGUGCCCGGCUCCCCAUCAUCUCUUUCCUACCCAUAUCAUUUCCUGCCAUUCUUUUCCUUGUUCUGCUUGGUCAGCCUCGUGGACCUUUGGGCUCAUCCCUGCCCUGCCAAGCACACUGGGUAACAGCGUCUCCCUGCUUACGUUCCACCUGCCUAAGACACUAUUCAGCUAUGUGACUGACUUUCACCUUCAUUUCAUUCAAAUCUCAGCUCAAAAAUGUCACUUUGUCAGAGAGGUAUGUUCUCUAUCCACCCACACAUCACUCUUUAUUCUUUUACUAUGCCCUGUAAUUUCUAUAUAACACUUCUAAUAUAGUAUAUAUUUUUUGAUUCCCUGUCUUUUCUCGCUUGAAUAUAAACUCACAGCAGCAGAGACCUUGCCUGCUUUGUCCACUAUUUUGUGUCAAAUACCUAGAACAUUAGAAUCUAUAGCAAAUGAUUGGAAAGCAGGCACCGGACUGAGAGUGCAAAUGUAGCCUUCUAAAUCCAUAAACCCUGAAGACUUAUUGUGAGCCAGGAUCUGUUCCUAGCACUGAAUCGAGACCAUCAUGCUAAGUGAAAUAAAUUGAACCCACGAGCUUAACUGUCAUGUGGUUUAUCUUCUAUGAGAAAUGCAAAUUAUAAAUAAAGGGCAAAAUAUAAGAUAGAUAACAGUAAGGAGGAGAUAGAUCUUUCCACUGGAGGGGAAUCAAGAGAUGGAGU
ensembl:lincRNA